ACAAACUUUAGAUGACGUGGCAACGUGUGAUAGGAUAAGAUUACGUGGAAUCUAUAAAAUGAAAGACAUAAAAAAGGUUAAAAUUAGGGUAAUUCACCACAACUUCAUGUCUCUUCUCGAGAGUUCAUCAUCUUCAUCUCUAAUCUUCUACAUCUGUGAAAAUAUCAUGAAGUAGAAUUUGAUCUUCGAGUGGGACAUCUAGGCAAGACACGCUUCCUUUGUGUUGGUGUGGACUACUUCCGAGGAUGUACCACCAUUGAAAAUACAUACCGCAAGUUCUUGAGACGCAUUAAAUGGAGUAAGAGUGAUGAGUAAAUUGUUCAUAUAAGAAGAUGAAUUUGACGCAUAAACAACACCCGCAAGAGAUGUUUCAUACACAAUGGAAGUUGAAAAAAUUGGAACUGAAAUGAUGCGAUUCAUGUAAGCUUUUUCAUGAAAUUUAAAUUGAUUUAUUGUUAUGCAUUUAUUUGUUUUCAUUAACGCUAACUAAAUUUAUUAGUUGUUUUGUACAGGGUUAAAGAUCUCAUCUCAGAGAGUGUAUAAGGACCUUGAUGAUGAUUCUUGUGCUGAUUGUGGAGAUGGGGGAGAUCUAAUUUGCUGUGAUAGCAGUUCUUUCAGUUUUUCAUCAAAGUUUUCUGGAUAUAGUAGAUAGUCUACUAGAAGGUGGUAGACUAUCUGUUAUAUCCAGACAACUUUGAUGAAAAGCUGGGAGGACAACUAUCACAGCAAAUUAAAUCUCCCCGUCUCCACAAACACCACAUGAAUCAUCAUUAAAAUUCUUAUACACUCUCUGAGAUGACAUAUCCAUUUUGAUAAGAUCCUUAGCCCUCUACAAAACAAUUAGUAAAUUUAGUUAGCGUUAACGAAAACAAAUGCAUAACAAUAAAUCAAUUUAAAUUUCACGAAAAAAGCUUACAUGAACCACAACAUUUUCGUUCCAAUUUUUUCAACAAUUUCUCUUUUCAUUGCUUCUUCUCCGCCGCUUUCUCAUUCACCGCAUUACUUCUAGGUUUGCUCCGAUCUGUUCAUCAUUCUUUUUCGUUCUUUUUUCACGUUUUUUUUUAUUAAUUUCGUGAAUUAUUGUUAUUAUCA